rnacentral:lncRNA from 1 species
AGGUUGGAAGCGAUAAAGGCUGCUGAAGUUAAAUAAAGGCUUAUUCCCGUCGAAGAUCCUGCUGGAGCUCUGAUGAAGCAUUUGGUGUGGAGCAGCUUUUGGCACUUGCAGUUUUCCGAUGUCCUUAUUUUCAUGAGGGCAAGCAAGAAAAGAAAGC